GAUGAACGCUGGCGGCGUGCUUAACACAUGCAAGUCGAACGGAAAGGCCCUGCUUUUGUGGGGUGCUCGAGUGGCGAACGGGUGAGUAACACGUGAGUAACCUGCCCUUGACUUUGGGAUAACUUCAGGAAACUGGGGCUAAUACCGGAUAGGAGCUCCUGCUGCAUGGUGGGGGUUGGAAAGUUUCGGCGGUUGGGGAUGGACUCGCGGCUUAUCAGCUUGUUGGUGGGGUAGUGGCUUACCAAGGCUUUGACGGGUAGCCGGCCUGGGAGGGUGACCGGCCACAUUGGGACUGCGAUACGGCCCAGACUCCUACGGGAGGCAGCAGUGGGGAAUAUUGCCCAAUGGGCGGAAGCCUGAUGCAGCAACGCCGCGUGCGGGAUGACGGCCUUCGGGUUGUAAACCGCUUUCGCCUGUGACGAAGCGUGAGUGACGGUAAUGGGUAAAGAAGCACCGGCUAACUACGUG
rnacentral:rRNA from 1 species